rnacentral:rRNA from 1 species
GACGAACGCUGGCGGCGUGCUUAACACAUGCAAGUCGAACGGAAAGGCCCUGCUUUUGUGGGGUGCUCGAGUGGCGAACGGGUGAGUAACACGUGAGUAACCUGCCCUUGACUUUGGGAUAACUUCAGGAAACUGGGGCUAAUACCGGAUAGGAGCUCCUGCUGCAUGGUGGGGGUUGGAAAGUUUCGGCGGUUGGGGAUGGACUCGCGGCUUAUCAGCUUGUUGGUGGGGUAGUGGCUUACCAAGGCUUUGACGGGUAGCCGGCCUGAGAGGGUGACCGGGCUCAUGGCGACUGAGAUAGGGCGCAGACUCCUACGGGAGGCAGCAGUGGAGAACAUUGCAGAAUGGGCGGAAGUGUGAUGCGGCAGCGCCGCGUGCGGGAUGACGGCCUUCGGGUGGUAAACCGCUUUCGCCUGUGACGAAGCGUGAGUGACGGUAAUUGGUAAAGAAGCACCGGCUAACUACGUG